rnacentral:misc_RNA from 1 species
UAGUAACUUAUUAUACCGCGAGGCGGACGAUGACCUUACCGGAUUUACGUGUACAUACAGUAUCUUAAGAAACAAUUGUGUAUUCUUUAUAUUUAGAAAAGUAAUUACUUACUCCAAUAAUUAUUUUUUAUGAAACCCACUAUUGUAAUCAUGAUUUUAAAAUAUUUUUUGUGCUAUUUUAUACUCCAAAAUAAAAUAAUUUAGUGAACGAAUUUAUUUAUAAGUAUUUGAUGCGCAGAUAAGCAAUGCGCAAGUCUUGUUAUGCUCAACUAGCUAAGGGGCGAUCGGAGACGGACGAAUGAUCUCUGAGCAUGGCGUGGAGCUUGGUCAAGUAAACAACUUAUGUGUAUCAUUAUAUAAAAAUCUAAACUUGUAUCAAAUAGUUAACUUUUAUAUCUGAAAAACAUCAUCACAUAGUAACAUUUUCGAAACAUGAGAUUUAUGUUCAAUGUGAAAGGAAUCAUGUGCAUAUCUUUUUUGAAGUGAAUUGUUUUUUUUUGCCUUUUAUUGUUCGACUUAGUGAGAUUGUGACGUCAAAUUUUGGAGUACGGCGUGCCAUGUUUCGACAUUAGAAAAUUUCCACCACAAGGCAGCCAUCACGAUUAUUCUGGACAGAAAUGUUUUGAGCAUCGAGUGACUAUUCGAUUUACCAACUAUAAAGCUACUUUAAUAAUAAACGAAGAAUGUCGAUGCAACAUCUCUGAUAAAAUAGUGACUAACAACUGACAACAAAUUCAAAUUAAUCUUUCUUUUUGUCAAGGUUUAUGUCAAGUGAAAUGACUACAAUUGAUGGCAUAUCUUUAACACUAUACCUUUAAAAGCAUGGUUAAAUUAUGCUGUUGGAAGUAUUAUUUCUCACAACAAAAAAUAUAUCAUUCAUAGAUAAUGUUUACAUUAGAUUGCCUGCCAUCAAGUUAUUGCGUACAUGUCAUUUCGACCAUCUCAAAAAUAGAUGGUACCAUUAUUAAAAAAUGACGAUAACUAUUUGAUUAACCAAAAAAAAAGGCAAAUUUUGAAAUCACACGUCAUCAUCUUAUCAUUCUAGAGUAAAUUAUUAACUACAAAAAAAGAGAAAAGAAAUAUAAAAUAGAAAACAUGUUAGGUUGUCCAAACUGUUUGAGCUACUUAAGGUUGUCAACAACUUCUUCGACAGCUGAACGUGAGUCAUGUCAACUAUGUGAUCGCCUUCACAACAAUACUGAAAAUGAUAUGGUUGUUCAUAAAAAUAAAUUAAGAUUGAAUAAAAGAUGUGAAAUCAAUACUGACUGGAAAAGAGAUAAAGAGAUAUUGAUCACUCGUCAAUAUGGAAUGAAACCAGUGUAUAACUGUCGAAUGACAAAUAAUGCUUUGAGUGUUGUGCGAUGGAGUUCUGAAAGUAGAACAUUUUUUUGGUUUAAGUUAAUUUGGAUAGUUAUCAUUUUAUUUCCAAUUGUUACUGCCAGUUUCACCGAAAAACCUCUACAAACAACACAUUCUUUCGAUGGAGAUGUGUGCCAAAGCAUAGACAUAAGAAAUAGUGUGACUCAAUUUUCAAGACUGAAAGGCUGUCGAGUAGUAGAAGGUUUCGUACAAAUAUUAUUAAUUGACCACGCAGAUGAUUCAGCCUAUGCUAACCUCACAUUUCCGGAUUUGAUAGAAAUUACAGGUUACCUUUUAUUAUACAGAGUGAACGGCUUACGAAGUAUUGGCCAACUUUUUCCCAAUUUAACCGUUAUCCGUGGUCAUUCGCUCUUCAUAAAUUAUGCACUGGUGGCUUUCGAAAUGAUGCACCUACAAGAAGUUGGCCUAUACUCACUUACUGAUAUAUUACGAGGUUCUGUACGUUUUGAAAAAAAUCCAAUGCUCUGCUAUGUUGAUACUAUUGAUUGGGAUAUUAUCGCUAAAGCUGGGAAUGGAGAACAUGUUAUUGCGGAUAACAAGCUCAAGAAUUUAUGUCCUGUGUGCGAAAAACACUGUCCAACUCGUUUAACAAAGCUAGAUGAUAAUUUAUGUUGGAAUGGACAAAAUUGUCAAAAAAUUUGUAAAUGUGGUCAUCGUGCUUGCAAUCCGUCCAACGAAUGCUGUCAUCCCCUAUGUUUAGGAGGAUGUACUGGUCUAACAGCAUUAGAUUGUAACAUAUGCAGAGAUGUAAUUUUACCUGAUAACAAAUGUGCGAAACAGUGUCCAGAAAAUAUGUAUGAAUUUUUAAAUCGUCGAUGUAUAGAUGAACAUAAAUGUCGGAAAAUGAAAAAGCCUUUGGAAUCAUUCGGAAACGUACGGGAUUAUCCAUAUAAACCUUUUAAAAAUAGUUGCGUGAUUGAAUGUCCAGCAGGUUAUAUGGAUGAUGAAAGUGAUGGUAAAGCUUCAUGUAAAGAAUGUGACCGUGCUUGUUCAAAAGUAUGCUCUGGAGCAAGUGUUGAUAGCAUUGCUUCUGCUCAAAAACUUCGUGGUUGUACUCGUAUCGAAGGUAGUUUGGAGAUACAAAUAAAAGGUGGCAAACACAUGGUGAAAGAACUGGAAGAUAAUUUAAACAUGAUAGAAAUAAUUGAUGGCUACUUAAAAAUUGUACGAAGUUUCCCUCUGAUAUCUUUAAACUUUUUAAAAAAUUUAAAAUUGAUUAAUGGUUCUCAAUUAGAAAACGAUAAAUAUACAUUAGCAGUUCUUGAUAAUCAAAACCUUCAAGAGUUAUGGGACUGGGAUACUCAUCCACCUAUUACUAUAAAAUCUAAAGAUGGACCUGCCAAAGUAUUUUUUCAUUUUAAUCCAAAGUUGUGUCUUCAAAAAAUAGAAAAAUUACGAGAAGUUGCUAAACUCUCUCGAUUUACAGAUUUAGAAGUUGCACCAAAUAGUAACGGUGAUAAAGUAGCUUGUAACGUAACUGAAUUAAAAGUAUCUGUAACUAAAAAAACUGCUGAAGCAGCACUUAUAGAGUGGAAAGCAUUUGAACAUCAUGAUCCGAGAUCAUUAUUAGGUUACGUUGUUUAUUUUAUAGAAGCACCCCAUCAAAAUGUUACAAUGUACGAUAGUCGUGAUGCAUGUGGAGGAGACGGUUGGAGAGUAGAUGAUGUUGCUCCAGAAUCGUCAAACGAAUCAUCAAAUCUUAUUAUUACUGCUUUACUCACUCAAUUAAAGCCAUACACUCAAUAUGCAUUUUACGUUAAAACUUAUACCAUCGCCACGGAAAGAUCAGGUGCUCAGAGUAAAGUACAAUAUUUUACAACUUUACCUGGUGAACCAAGUCAACCUAGAUCUUUCUCUGUUUGGAGUAAUUCUAGCAGUGAAUUAGUCAUGUCUUGGCUUCCACCACUUCGAAGUAACGGAAAUUUAACAUAUUAUAGAAUUAUUGGCAAACAAGAAGUAUAUGAUCCUAAUCUUCUUGCGAAACGAGAUUACUGCGAUAAACCUUUGCAAUUUCCGGAUAAAAAACCUAUAUCUGAGAUAGCUGAAGAGGAACGAAAACGUGCAGAAGCCGAAAAAGAACGUAAUAAGCCUGAUUUAUCUUCUUGUGAAUGUGCUGAUAAAGAAUCAACUCAAUCAGAAAGAGAAAAAGAAGUGUCAGGUUCGAUUGCUUUUGAAGAUGCAUUACACAAUCAGGUUUAUGUUAAAAGAGUUGGCAGCAAUAGUAGACGUAGACGAGAUAUAACUGUUAUUAAACCGAGUGAUCUUGAAUACUUACGAAAGAACGAAACAAUCAUUAACACUGAUCAGACGCUUAAUCUAAUACCCAGUUCUGAACAAUCAUUCGUAAUGCGAAAUUUAGAGCAUUUCGCUACUUAUAAUAUAGAGCUUCAAGCUUGUCGAGAAGCUGUUCCUGAUGAUGUAAGCGAAAAAUGUUCCACAAAAGUGAUACAAAACUCUCGAACUUUACCAUUUGAGCAUGCAGACGAUAUUCCGUUGGGAUCACUGAAAUUACAAAAGAUCUAUGAUCGCACUAACACUAGUCGUCCAGCAGUGAAAUUACAGUGGGAAGAACCAAAAAGACCUAACGGAUUGAUUGUUGCCUAUCAAAUUGAAUACAAACGAGUAGGAAUGCCAGAUAUUCAGCCAAUUGUAGUUUGUAUAAGUAGUCAAAGAUUUCGCAACGACAGUAAUUCUUGUAUCACUAAAGAUUUGCCGGCUGGUAAUUAUUCCGUAAAAGUUCGGGCUACAAGUUUAGCAGGAAGUGGUGCCGACUCAGAAGUACUUUACGUAUAUAUUGAGGAAGAUAGUUCAAAAGACAAAUUUGGGAUUAUUUUCUGGUCAGUGUUCUUCAUCGUUCUCAUUGCAGCAAUUUUUAUUGGAAUGUAUCUGUGUAAACGUAAGCUUAUGCGAAAUGUACCGAGUAGAAGACUGAUAGCGACCGUGAAUCCAGAAUAUGUCAGCACUGCUUACGUACCUGAUGAAUGGGAAGUACCAAGAAAGAAAAUUCGUUUAUCUCGAGAGCUAGGGAAUGGUUCUUUUGGUAUGGUUUAUGAAGGUAUUGCUAAAGAUAUUAGUAAGUUAAAACCUGAAAUAAGAUGUGCCGUCAAAACUGUUAAUGAAAAUGCAACCGAUCGUGAACGCAUAGAAUUUUUAAAUGAGGCUUCGGUAAUGAAAGCUUUCAACACCCAUCAUGUUGUUCGGCUACUUGGUGUUGUAUCUCGAGGUCAACCUCCUUAUGUCAUCAUGGAAUUAAUGGUAAAUGGUGAUCUCAAAACUUAUUUACGAAGUCAUCGACCCGAUCAGUGUGAGAAUAUGUCAAGACAACCUCCUACACUCAAACGAAUAAUACGAAUGGCAGCUGAAAUUGCCGAUGGAAUGGCUUAUCUUUCAGCAAAGAAAUUUGUACACAGAGAUUUGGCAGCUCGCAAUUGUAUGGUAGCAGAAGAUCUGACCGUAAAAAUAGGUGAUUUUGGAAUGACUAGAGAUAUAUAUGAAACAGAUUACUAUCGAAAAGGUACAAAAGGUCUUCUGCCGGUUCGCUGGAUGGCACCUGAGAGUUUAAAAGACGGAGUAUUUACUAGUUAUUCAGAUGUCUGGAGUUAUGGAAUAGUUUUAUGGGAAAUGGUAACACUUGCAUCUCAACCAUAUCAAGGAUUAUCGAAUGAUCAAGUAUUACGUUAUGUAAUUGAUGGAGGUGUAAUGGAACGUCCAGAAAAUUGUCCUGAUUCUCUUUAUCGAUUAAUGCGAGGAACAUGGAAUCAAAAAGCUGUACGAAGGCCUACAUUUAUUCAUAUUACUGCUAUGCUUUUGAAAGAAGCAUCUUUAGAAGGUUUCGAAACUGUCAGCUUUUAUCACAGCCCGGAAGGAAUUGAAGCUCGUAAUCAAAACAACUCUCUUUCACCACUCAAUGAUAACGAUUUUGAAAUGGCUUCGUUAGAGGAUUUAAGAGAAGACGAACAAGAAGGAGAUGAAGGUCUACCACUGCGUGAAGAUUUUGGGGAUUUCGCAAGUGUUGAACCAAGUUGUUUUAAAAAUAGUACAGAUUCAAGAUAUGAUUUAAAACCAUACGAUGAUAACCCUGGAAUUCCUGCGAGCUUCCACGAUCUAAACUCUUCAAAGAUGCCUCUUAAAGCUGGUUUUGACGAUUUUGAUGGUGUGUCAGUAGGGUCUUUUUGCUCGAGUAAAGAUACAUUGAAUUUUCCAUUUGUGGAAGAAAGCCUUAAAUCAGUUAAAAACUCCCCGUCCAUAAAGAACAAUAGUACGACUCGACAAAAUUUCAAGAAGCGGAACAACAAUCUCAGACUGAUUAUUUAGAUAAAAAUGAAAGUCUGAAUAAUGGAUACAUUAGUGGAACAACUACGUAGUUUACAAAGUAACUUGUGAUUUUUUUCGGAUCAACACAAAAAAAUGUGACAAAUACAGCACUUAUCCAAUGUCGCGUCAAAAACGCUCAAAAACUAUUUUACAGAGCCGCCAAUAUGUUUAAAAGAAAUGAAUGUUUUCAUACUCUUUAUAGUUACAAUAAAAUGAUAUUAAGAUUAA